rnacentral:rRNA from 1 species
UACCGAGGGUGCGAGCGUUGUUCGGAAUUAUUGGGCGUAAAGGGCGCGUAGGGGGUGCGGUAAGUCACCUGUGAAAUCUCCUGGCUCAACUGGGAGCUUGCAGGCGAAACUGCCGUGCUGGAGUGUGGGAGAGGUGCGUGGAAUUCCUGGUGUAGCGGUGAAAUGCGUAGAUAUCAGGAGGAACACCUGUGGCGAAAGCGGCGCACUGGACCACAACUGACGCUGAGGCGCGAAAGCUAGGGGAGCAAACAGG